CAAAUAUCAUUUGUAAGAACUGGUUUCUUUAUUUUAAAAGAAACAAUUAAUUGGUACAGCUCCAUUUCCAUUUGGCCUUCCUUUUCCUCAAAAAGCUUUAUUAUAAUGCCAUAUCCUUAUUGAAUUUGGAACAAAACCAUGAAUCUUACUACAUAUUUCACACAGUCUGCUGCUUAGAAGUCUGGCCACCAAUAACGGCAUCAUCGGGGAUGUACUUGCCCCAAAACCAAUGUGCUUUCCAGACCCUAUUCAUCUCUUCAAUGGGUACGUUUCUUGUCUCAGGCAAGAAGAAGAAUAUGAAGAUGGUCAUAACGAUAACCCAGCCAGCGAAAAAUAAGAAGAGCCCGAACUUCAUGUGGCAAAGCAUGGUUAAAAAGAAUUGGCCAAUGACAAAGGUGAAGAACAUGUUAACAGAGACAUUGAUAGCUUGGCCGGCUGAUCGGAUUUCCAGAGGACAGAUCUCACUAGGCACCAACCACCCCAAUGGACCCCAAGACCAUGCGAAAGCUGCUACAUAUACACAAAUCAAGAACAGCACAAAAUUUGCUGACCCACCUGACAAUUUCCCUACACCAGAAGUCCCAAAGCUCAUGCUGAUCAUGAUUCCAACAAGAACCUGGCAAAUAAUCAUUUGGACGCCACCUUCGAGGAACAAAACCCGUCUUCCAAACUUAUCAGCAGAGUAUAUGGAAACAAUUGUGGCCAACACAUUAACUAUGCCAGUAAUAACAGCAGACAUAAGCGAAGCAUCAUCGCCAAACCCCAAAGUCUUAAAUAGAACAGGCGCAUAAAACAUGAUGACAUUAAUUCCAGUGAGUUGCUGGAAGAAUGGAAUUAAGCUGCAAAUGACAAGUUGAGGCCUGUAUUGUGGCUUCAUAAUAUUCAGCCAUGGGUGUUCUACUCUCUUCGCAGCUUCAGUUGCAUCAACGAGAUCUUGGAACUCCUCAUCAACAUUGUUUGUGCCACGAAUCUUUUUCAACAUUUCUCUGGCCUUCUCCGGAUGGCCCCUCUCGAGAAUGGAAUUGGGAGUGUCUGGUAGGAAGACAGAUCCAACACUUAUCAUUAUUGCAGGUACUGCUGCAAGAGCUAAGGAAACUCUCCAUCCCCAACCACCUUCAAUCUUUGCUGUACCGUAGUUGAUGAGAUUUGCAGCUAAAAUACCGAUCGUGAUAGCCAUUUGGAAACCAAUGUUAAGUGCUCCUCUAAUCUUCGCGGGUGCCAUUUCAGAUAAAUAGACUGGAACAGACUGAUUAGCAAAUCCAACACCCACACCAAGCAACAAACGGCCAAUAAUAAGCAUCGCGACGUUCAUGGCAGCACCAUUGAGGAUAGCACCAAUGAGGAAAACAAAGCCUCCAAACAACAUGGAAAUCUUGCGACCAAAAGCCCUAGUUACUGUAGAAGCAAGGAAGGAAGCUACCAACGCUGCAAGGUACAGUGAAGAUGUGAACAAUUGGAGCAGAUGGCUUUCAAAUUUGCAGUACAUAUUCUCACGGUGUUUCUCUGUUUCUUUUCGGUACACAGUUGGGAAGAACUUCUUUAAAAACGAGUCCAUAGAAGUCACCCCACCUGAGAUACCAAUAUCAUAUCCGAAAAUGAGACCACCAAAAGCUGCAACAAAACAAGUCAUGAUAACGAAGGUUGUGACACCACCUUCAUAGUUCCUCGCUGGACCCUGAACAGCAAAACCACCUCCUGCCAUCUUUCAGAAAACUGGGAAAGGCUGUUUGUCUAUUACCCUAGCUAAACUAACAAAAGAUUUUAUAAAGGAGUAAAAGGUAUUCUUUCCGUUCCAAGUGAAUCAAAGGAUUUUUUACUGCAAUUUUCUUUGUCAAAUCCUUUAAAACCACAGGGAAAAUAAAGAGAAAGAGGAUUCCACCAAAUUCUUCAUACCCAAGAGAAAGAUAACUCCUUUGGGAAUCUUUUGUGUUUUGACGUUUCCGUCCGAUGGAUUUCUAUGCCGAAAGGAUGCAAG
rnacentral:misc_RNA from 1 species